CUCCGGGGGACCUCACGGUGGAUGACGGCCUGGACACACCACCUGUCAGUCUGCUGAAAGAGGAUGCUUCAUAAAAGAGAAAGUAUGCAGCAAGCGACGGCUCUCUGGUACAAGGUGCCCUUUUGAUGCCAGAGUGGGCAGAUCCCAGUCCAGUAGAGGUGGAUGGGAUGUGGUGGAACGGGAAAUCAUGACUGUGCAGACAAGAAACCUGCAGCACCUGCGUGGUGCCAUCAUCGAUCCCGCGGAGCUAACGGGUUUCUGCGCUGCUUGCCGCAUGCAUGCCCCAGCUGUACCACCUCGCUCCAGAUGUGCUUGAAGAUGCCCGUGUCACGCUGAAAUAGUUUAGCACAUGGCAGAUCUGGAGGAGAGGUUUGCUAAAAGAAGUGCGUGUUGUUCCAGGCAUUUCCCAAGAUAUUGCUAAUAUUUUUGGAUGAAACACACAAACACAUAUUGUUACAUUUAAUGAAUCACUGACUGUAUGCUGAGAGCUGCUGACAGCUGAGGACAAAUCCCUUAUGUUGCAUACAUGGCCAAUAAAAGCUACAUCAGUUAAUGCUAUAAUGUUAUAAUCUUCAUUUUUAUUCAUAUUUUAUUGUAUUAGUGUUUCAUUGUUACAUAUAGAAUGGUUUUAUGUUCCCAAAAACUCAAACAAAUAAAAAACACUACCCAGAUUAAUAGUUUAUAAUUAUUGAGUAGCCCAACACUCAUGCAUGGAAUAUAUGUUUGAUUGUAUGUUGUAUGUAUGUAUGUUUUAUGAAUUAAUGUAUCUAUGAAUUACAUUUAUUACAUUU